CUACGGGAGGCAGCAGUAAGGAAUAUUGGUCAAUGGAGGAAACUCUGAACCAGCCAUCCCGCGUGCAGGAAGAAGGGGCUCUGCCUUGUAAACUGCUUUUGCAUGGGACGAAAAAGCGAGAUUUAUCUUGAACUGACGGUACCAUGAGAAUAAGCACCGGCUAACUCCGUGCCAGCAGCCGCGGUAAUACGGAGGGUGCGAGCGUUAUCCGGAAUCACUGGGUUUAAAGGGUGCGUAGGCGGUUGUAUAAGUCAGUGGUGAAAGGCCGUAGCUUAACUAUGGGAUUGCCAUUGAUACUGUAUAACUUGAGAGAGGUUGAGGUUGGCGGAAUGUGGCAUGUAGCGGUGAAAUGCAUAGAUAUGCCAUAGAACAUCGAUUGCGAAGGCAGCUGACUGGACCUUAUCUGACGCUGAGGCACGAAAGCGUGGGGAGCGAACAGGAUUAGAAACCCUGGUAGUCC
rnacentral:rRNA from 1 species